rnacentral:misc_RNA from 1 species
AAGUCGUAACAAGGUCUCCGUAGGUGAACCUGCGGAGGGAUCAUUAACACGUACGAAUAACAAAGUAGAAUGGUACUGGUAUACUGGUACUGACCUACUUUAUUAUUUAUACCAACUCGUGAACGAAACUGUAUGCCUCUCUCCUUAGCGAUGUUACGUUGCUUUGCUAACCUAACAUUGCUAAGCUAUGUUUUUCAUUGUAUUCUCUCUAUACAAACCAAUAUCUAAAUUGUAACUAAAUAAAAAUGCACACAUGUAACAGUAUGUGCGUACUUUUAUGAUAAAAUUCAACAUUUUAAGCACAACUCUUAGCAACGGAUAUCUCGGUUCUC